UACGUAGGUGGCGAGCGUUGUCCGGAUUUACUGGGCGUAAAGAGCGCGCAGGCGGCUGGUCAAGUCCGAUGUGAAAGCUCCCGGCUUAACUGGGAAAUUGCAUCGGAAACUGAUCGGCUGGAAGGUGGGAGAGGGUAGCGGAAUUCCCGGUGUAGUGGUGAAAUGCGUAGAUAUCGGGAGGAACACCAGUGGCGAAAGCGGCUACCUGGCCCAUUCCUGACGCUGAGGCGCG
rnacentral:rRNA from 1 species